rnacentral:rRNA from 1 species
UACGUAGGAGACGAGCGUUGUCCGGAAUUACUGGGCGUAAAGCGCGUGUAGGCGGAUGAGCAAGUCUGCUGUGAAAGCUCCUGGCUUAACCGGGAGUAGUCGGUGGAAACUGCUCGUCUGGAGGACGGUAGAGGCUGGUGGAAUUUCCGGUGUAGUGGUGAAAUGCGUAGAGAUCGGGAGGAACACCUGUGGCGAAGGCGGCCAGCUGGGCCGGGCCUGACGCUGAGACGCGAAGGCGUGGGGAGCGAACGGG